rnacentral:rRNA from 1 species
ACCAUGGAGAGUUUGAUCCUGGCUCAGGAUGAACGCUGUGGGAGGCUUAAUACAUGCAAGUCGAGCGGCAAGUUUUGAUAGCAAUAUUGGAACCUAGAGCGGCGCACGGGUGAGUAACGCGUACAGACCUGCCCUAUACUGGGGAUAGUCUUGGGAAACUGAGAAUAAUCCCGCAUGUGAUUAGAAUGCUGCAUGGCAAAUUAAUUAAAGCUGAGGCGGUAUAGGAUGGGUGUGCGUCUGAUUAGCUUGUUGGUAGUGUAACGGACUACCAAGGCGAUGAUCAGUAGGGGGCGUGAGAGCGUGACCCCCCACACGGGUACUGAGACACGGACCCGACUCCUACGGGAGGCAGCAGUAAGGAAUAUUGGUCAAUGGAGGGAACUCUGAACCAGCCAUCCCGCGUGAAGGAUGAAGGGGCUCUGCCUUGUAAACUUCUUUUGCAUGGGACGAAAAAACUUAAUUUAUUAAGGACUGACGGUACCAUGAGAAUAAGCACCGGCUAACUCCGUGCCAGCAGCCGCGGUAAUACGGAGGAGUGCAGGCGUUAUCCGGAAUCACUGGGUUUAAAAGGGUGCGUAGGCGGUUUGAUAAGUCAGUGGUGAAAGGCCGUCGCUUAACGAUGGGACUGCCAUUGAUACUAUUAGACUUGAAUCAGGAUGAGGUUGGCGGAAUGUAGCAUGUAGCGGUGAAAUGUAGAUAUGCCAUGGAAUACCGAUUGCGAAGGCAGCUGACUGGACCUGAAUUGACGCUGAGGCACGAAAGCGUGGGGAGCGAACAGGUUAGAUACCCUGGUAGUCCACGCCUAAACGAUGCUUACUCGUUGUUUGAUCUAAGGUUGAGUGACUAAGCGAAAGCGAUAAGUAAGCCACCUGGGGGAGUACGACCGCAAGGUUGAAACUCAAAGGAAUUGACGGGGGUCCCACAAGCGGUGGAGCAUGUGGUUUAAUUCGAUGAUACGCGAGGAACCUUACCUGGGCUAGAAUGCGAGUGAAUGUGUGUGAAAGCAUGCAGGCCGCAAGGGACACAAAGCAAGGUGCUGCAUGGCUGUCGUCGCUCGUGUCGUGAGAUGUUGGGUUAAGUCCGCAACGAGCGCAACCCUAUCUUUAGUUGCUAACCCGCAAGGGAGGACUCUCAGAGACUGCCCCGUAAGGGAGAGGAAGGAGGAUGACGUCAAGUCAUCAUGGCCUUUAUGUCCGGGCGACACACGUGCUACAAUGGCCGGUACAGAGGGGAAAGCGAAACAGUGAUGUGGAGCCAAUCCCAGAAAGCCGGUCUCAGUUCGGAUUGGAGUCUGCAACCCGACUCCAUGAAGUUGGAAUCGCUAGUAAUCGCGCAUCAGCUAUGGCGCGGUGAAUACGUUCCCGGACCUUGUACACACCGCCCGUCAAGCCAUGGAAGCCAGGGGUGCCUGAAGAUGGUGCUCGUUACAGAGGCUAUCUGAGGUAAAACUGGUGACUGGGGCCUAAAUCGUAACAAGGUAGCCGUACCGGGAAGGUGCGGCUGGAAUACCUCCUUU